GGAAAAAUUUGAAAAAAUCAUGAUUUCUAGCUUCGAAAAAAAGUUUUUUGAAGUUGUCAUAUCAGUGGAUUUGGCAUGUCCGAUUGUCUAUUGAGACUUGAGAGAGUUAAAGUUAAAUGAACCUGUAAAAGUGUAAACCCAAUAGGCUAAUACACAAUAUGCUGUUACUUUUAAAAAGUCAUUGACAUUGUGUCGUUUGAAUCAGAGUACAAUUUAUAAUGCAACUCCAAUGUAAAUAAUAUUUGGGGCGUAAAGAUUAAAUCUAGGCAAGUCUAUUUCCUAAAAGAAUUAAAAACUAAAAAUAAUGUUCGUAAAAAUUCCAAACGUUCCUUGCGAGCAAGCUAUUUGCAUGACAAGGCACUGCAAACUCUAUUCAGGGGAGAUAAUAGAGUUUCAAAACUUUACAAUUGCUCCAAUAACCCAGUGAGUGCAAGCGAGGAGCGAUUAGUUUCAGAGUAUUGCACUGUCUUUUUCUAUUUGAGUGUACUCCUACAUUUAUUUUGUAUCAUCAACACUCUGCACGUUGGACUGGACUAUUUAAUUAUUUUUAUUAUGCCGAAUAUUAGGGGGG